CUUUUGGAAUUAAUCAAGACCAGACAGAAUACAUUUGAGAGUACUAAGUUUACUGCAGGGGACUGCCAGCCUAUUCACUUUCAUCACUGACAGAGAGGCCAAAAGUGGCACCAUGCAAUGGGCACAUGGGAGGAUUGCUUUUCAAAUGUUUACUUCCACUUUGAGGGAAUCAGGGAGAACAAGACCAAUUAUAGUUUGACAGUAAG
rnacentral:lncRNA from 1 species